rnacentral:tRNA from 1 species
UAGAGAGAAGCGAUUACGCAGUCGGUUUCGGCCCGAAGACUGGGAGUCAUAGCAUUCCCCUCCCUAG